rnacentral:rRNA from 1 species
UACAGAGGUCUCAAGCGUUGUUCGGAUUCAUUGGGCGUAAAGGGUGCGUAGGCGGCGCGGUUAAGUCGGGUGUGAAAUCUCGGGGGCUCAACCCCUGUGAUGCACUGGAUACUGGGCAGCUUGAGUGCGGUAGGGGAAGGUGGAAUUCCGAGUGUAGCGGUGAAAUGCGUAGAUAUCGGAAGAACACCGGUGGCGAAGGCGACCUUCUGGGCCGCAACUGACGCUGAGGCACGAAAGCCUGGGGAGCGAACGGG